GUUGUAUGCUUGCCUUUUUCUUCAGAAGCAUCAGUCUUUGUUAUACCCAGAGGAGAAACUCGGACCAGAUUAGCUCAGGCUGGUCUUCUUGGAAAAAUUUCCUUUUCCACAGAAUGGUCUGAAGAUCAACUAAGAGCUGAAAUAACUGCCAUCUUCAAAGGAGCAUUUGGACUGUCAGAGCAUCAGUCAUUCCCAUUUAAGUUUUUGAGCACCAUCAAAGGAUGUAAGAAAUUGAUGAUUCCAAAGGUUACUUCCAAUUUUCCUUGGGGUGGUAAAGAAGUUGCUUCAGUCUGUUCCAGCACUUGUCUGUACAUCAUGGCAGGGAUGGAAGUUCCAGCACAGAAUGGGCCUCUGGAACUUUCAGAUGAUAGUGAUUUUGAAAGCCCAGUUUUACAACGUAGGAGAGUGAGUCAGCAUGAGGGUCCUUCAACAAGCCAGAGGGAACAACAUGAGAGAGAGGAUGAUGGUGAAAUCAGUCUU